AUGUGUGCGUGUGGAGUUGAACAUGUGCCAACAAUCGAUAUCAACGCUUUAACUUCUUGGUACUAAGAUUUAAGGAAGUUAACUAGAUGGUUUAAGUACAUAAUUUUGUGAAAUCGGUUUACUUGGAGUUUGAUUUAACACGUACCUGGAGCUUAACGAAAGGUUUUCAGUGGAUAAACGAGGGUUUGGAAGCAUCUGUAUGGACCGGGAAUUAAAAAUACGAAGAAACGAGACCAAAUCAAGGGAGGCACCCAUACUAGUAAACAGGGCGCCCCUUAGGGGCGGGCGUCAGUGGAAAAACUAGAGUUUUGUCAAUGGAGGGAGCCACCUGGCGCCCUGUGUUAGCGAUACUCGCGAAGUUAGGGUUUUUGCAUCCUAUUCAAACCUAAACAUCCCCAAACGAAUUUCAUUCUUCCUCAACAAUUUUUAGGUAUCCUAAAGGUGAUUUUGAGGCUUUCCAAGAACACCAAUUCAUGAAUUUAGAAUCCACAACAACCACCAGUGAAAAUUCAAUCACGCUGAUAGGCGGCUAAUUCCCUUGUAACUUCCACUUGGUGAACGGUUUGUAUAGGUUUACAAUUAAAACUUUUUUGGUUAUGUUUUUGAAUUCAUUACUUAUUGGAUAUUGUGGAAAACUUGAUCUUGAUUGAGUCAAACGAAUUAUUUGUGU
rnacentral:lncRNA from 1 species